rnacentral:rRNA from 1 species
UACGGGGGGAGCAAGCGUUGUUCGGAUUUACUGGGCGUAAAGGGCGCGUAGGCGGCCACCGCAAGUCGACUGUGAAAUCUCCGGGCUUAACCCGGAAAGGUCAGCCGAUACUGCGGGGCUAGAGUGCAGAAGGGGCAACUGGAAUUCUCGGUGUAGCGGUGAAAUGCGUAGAUAUCAAGAGGAACACCUGCAGCGAAGGCGGGUUGCUGGGCCGACACUGACGCUGAGGCGCGAAAGCCAGGGGAGCGAACGGG